CCUACGGGCGGCAGCAGUGAGGAAUAUUGGUCAAUGGGCGCGAGCCUGAACCAGCCAAGUCGCGUGAGGGAAGACGGUCCUAUGGAUUGUAAACCUCUUUUGUCGGGGAGCAAAAGACGCCACGCGUGGCGUUCCGCGCGUACCCGACGAACAAGCAUCGGCUAACUCCGUGCCAGCAGCCGCGGUAAUACGGAGGAUGCGAGCGUUAUCCGGAUUUAUUGGGUUUAAAGGGUGCGCAGGCGGAAGAUCAAGUCAGCGGUAAAAUUGAGAGGCUCAACCUCUUCGAGCCGUUGAAACUGGUGGUCUUGAGUGAGUGAGAGGUAGGCGGAAUGCGUGGUGUAGCGGUGAAAUGCAUAGAGAUCACGCAGAACUCCGAUUGCGAAGGCAGCAUACCGGAGCUCAACUGACGCUCAGGCACGAAAGUGUGGGUAUCGAACAGGAUUAGAUACCCGUGUAGUC
rnacentral:rRNA from 1 species